rnacentral:lncRNA from 1 species
CGAGGGACUCCCCUGUCCGGGAAGCAGCAGGGAUCUGGGUGUCAGGUGCGACAGAUGACAGGAUUGGACAUUGAGAAGGAUCAGAUUAUUGAGAUGGCUUGUCUGAUAACUGACUCUGACCUUAACAUUUUGGCUGAAGGUCCCAACCUGAUUAUCAAACAGCCGGAUGAGUUGCUGGACAGCAUGUCAGAUUGGUGCAAGGAGCAUCACGGGAAGAUAACCUUCUAUAGUAGUGGUUCAAGAAACUGAAGUUCCAGAGAGACCAGCCGAGGCCAUCCUUGCCUUCCACUCACCUGAUUCGGAAUACUCGUCCGCUUUUGUAUAUCGGUGACAAGGCUCGGAACUCGAUCUGAGAAACACAUAUGAACUCAGCCCCCCACCCCCCAUGUUUUUAUUAUGGAAAAAACAAAACAAAACAAAACAAAAAAAAUGCCAGAUGCACAGAGAGGUUGAGUUUGGUCAUUGUUAAUCUCUGCCGCCUUGGUGUCCCCUUAUAUUUUUCUUGCUGCUUUUGGACACUUGAAAACAAACUCC